CUAUGUUCCAACUUCCUAUAAAUGGGCAGCGUCUUACCAUAUCAGGAAUACUCUGGUAUAAUGAUCUGAAUAAACUUGCAUUUAAACAUAACUAGUCACAAAUUUACGUAACAGUGUAAGUUUAUUUUUUAUAUGAUAUACAUUGAUUUAUUUCAAAUUGUGUAGGAUAUAGUCAAUUGAUAGUUUAAUAAUUGUUGAAUGUAAGUCAAAUUUAAUUUGUUGUUAAAGCACAGGUGCUUGAUUCAUGAUUACGACAAAUUUACGGUUGUAUUCGAGUAUCAAUUUUUAUGCAACAUAAUAACACUACAAAUUAAACUAUACUAUAGCAUGUAUAGCUCUUUGAAAUAAUUAUAAGCAAAUUAAUCAAAUAUUCUACACUUCCUUAUUGGAUUAUUCCAAACUACAACAUAACAAUUUUGCCACUGUAUAAUACAAAUCAACGACAUCUGGUUAAAAAUAUUGUGAACUAUAAAAAAUGAUACUUUUAGCGAAAUUUUAACUCAGAUCAGAAAGUUUUAUUCUAAAUAUUUUCUCAUGAAUCUAAAUAAUCGAGACGUGCUGGAAAGCUUCGUUGAAAUUCGAAAAAGUUUGUGAACAUUAAUACCUUCAGGAAACCAUAUGCGGAAUUACAACCAUGAUUGCUUAUUCUCUAUAAGACUUCUUUGAAUUGUAUUUUUUCAAAAUGAAAUGUGCAAAAUUUACUUUUGACACCCUUCCAGUCGACAAUAAUGUUCGGGACUUUUUAAAACAAAAGAAGUAUUCAUAUAAAACAUUGUAGAAAACAAUAUGUUUUGUUUGUACGGCCCAGAAAUCAGCACUUGUAUGUUAAUAUGAAUUAUCAUUGAUAUGGCCAUAAUUAUCAGCUAUGUUUACGUCAAAACGCCCGGGCGUACACUUGAAUUUUGGUAAAACAAUUAUGUUAAUCUCAAUAAACUAAAAAGAACUGGUUAAAAUUAUAUAAACCUUGUAUAUCUUUCUUCAAUGGCUUGUAUAAUUGCGAAUAAAAGU
rnacentral:lncRNA from 1 species